CCUACGGGAGGCAGCAGUGGGGAAUAUUGGGCAAUGGGCGCAAGCCUGACCCAGCAACGCCGCGUGAAGGAAGAAGGCCCUCGGGUUGUAAACUUCUUUUAUUCGGGACGAAACAAAUGACGGUCACUAAGGAGCAAGCCACGGCUAACUACGUGCCAGCAGCCGCGGUAAUACGUAGGUGGCAAGCGUUGUCCGGAAUUACUGGGUGUAAAGGGAGCGUAGGCGGGCAGCCAAGUCAGCUGUGAAAACUACGGGCUUAACCUGUAGACUGCAGUUGAAACUGUCUUUCUUGAGUGAAGUAGAGGUGGGCGGAAUUCCGAGUGUAGCGGUGAAAUGCGUAGAUAUUCGGAGGAACACCGGUGGCGAAGGCGGCCAGCUGGGCUUUAACUGACGCUGAGGCGCGAAAGUGUGGGGAGCAAACAGGAUUAGAUACCCUUGUAGUC
rnacentral:rRNA from 1 species